rnacentral:rRNA from 1 species
CCCUUAGAUGUUCUGGGCCGCACGCGCGCUACACUGAUGCAUCCAACGAGUUUCUUCCUGGUCCGAGAGGAAUGGGUAACCUAUUGAAAGUGCAUCGUGAUAGGGAUAGACUAUUGCAAUUAUUGGUCUUCAACGAGGAAUUCCUAGUAGACGUAGUUCAUCAGACUGCAUCGAUUACGUCCCUGCCCUUUGUACACACCGCCCGUCGCUCCUACCGAUUGAAUGCUCAGGUGAGCCAUUCGGACCUUCAUCAUGCCGGUUUCCGGUUUUGAUGAGGGAAAGUCUUGCGAACCUUAUCAUUUAGAGGAAGGAGAAGUCGUAACA